rnacentral:rRNA from 1 species
ACGAACGCUGGCGGCGUGCUUAACACAUGCAAGUCGAACGGAGUGUUUCAAAAAGCUUGCUUUUUUGCAACACUCAGUGGCGCACGGGUGAGUAACACGUGGGCAACCUGCCCGGAAGACUGGGAUAACACCUCGAAAGGGGUGCUAAUACCGGAUACCUUCACGGAGUCGCAUGACUUUGUGCAGAAAGAAAUUCGCUUCCGGAUGGGCCCGCGUCCCAUUAGCUAGUUGGCGAGGUAACGGCUCACCAAGGCGACGAUGGGUGGCUG